rnacentral:sRNA from 1 species
CACAUCAAAUUUAAUAGUUCUAAUUCAUUUCAGGCUUCAUGAAGGGAGCAGAUGAAGGCAUGCCACCUUUGUCAGUAUUUAGUUUGCUGUGGCAAUAGUUCACUAAGUGAUGGAGCCUUUUGUUAAGUGUUUCCAGUCCCAAUUUCCAUCUGUGCUGGAGCCUGCUAUGACUGGUUCAGUAGCACAAAGUGCAGCCCAUUACAAAGUUGACAUUUAAAAGUGCUGCCAACUGCAUUCAUUUAUUGUUGACUCAAAUACAACUUUUUACUUCUGUUACUUUGAAAAA